AUUGAACGCUGGCGGUAUGCUUAAGACAUGCAAGUCGAACGGUAACAGGUUAAGCUGACGAGUGGCGGACGAGUGAGUAACGCGUGGGAACCUGCCCUUUGGUUGGGGAUAACUGCGGGAAACUGCGGCUAAUACCCGAUGCACCCGAGAGGGGAAAGAUUUAUCGCCGAAGGAUGGGCCCGCGUCGGAUUAGGUAGUUGGUGGGGUAACGGCCUACCAAGCCUUCGAUCCGUAGCUGGUCUGAGAGGAUGAUCAGCCACACUGGGACUGAGAUACGGCCCAGACUCCUACGGGAGGCAGCAGUGGGGAAUAUUGGACAAUGGGCGCAAGCCUGAUCCAGCAAUGCCGCGUGAGUGAAGAAGGCCUUAGGGUUGUAAAGCUCUUUCGGCGGGGACGAUGAUGACGGUACCCGCAGAAGAAGCCCCGGCUAACUCCGUG
rnacentral:rRNA from 1 species